rnacentral:piRNA from 1 species
UAGAAGGGAUGCUAGACAGACGUGAU